rnacentral:rRNA from 1 species
UACGAAGGGGGCUAGCGUUGCUCGGAAUCACUGGGCGUAAAGCGCACGUAGGCGGAUCUUUAAGUCAGGGGUGAAAUCCCGGAGCUCAACUCCGGAACUGCCUUUGAUACUGGGGAUCUUGAGUUCGAGAGAGGUGAGUGGAACUGCGAGUGUAGAGGUGAAAUUCGUAGAUAUUCGCAAGAACACCAGUGGCGAAGGCGGCUCACUGGCUCGAUGACUGACGCUGAGGUGCGAAAGCGUGGGGAGCAAAC